rnacentral:tRNA from 1 species
GCCUUCGUGGUAUAACGGUAGCACACUCGGCCGAUAUUCGAGAGGUCCAGGUUCGAGUCCUGGUGAAGAGCA